rnacentral:rRNA from 1 species
UUGUGAAAUGUUGGGUUAAGUCCCGCAACGAGCGCAACCCUUAUCCUUUGUUGCCAGCGGUCCGGCCGGGAACUCAAAGGAGACUGCCAGUGAUAAACUGGAGGAAGGUGGGGAUGACGUCAAGUCAUCAUGGCCCUUACGACCAGGGCUACACACGUGCUACAAUGGCGCAUACAAAGAGAAGCGACCUCGCGAGAGCAAGCGGACCUCAUAAAGUGCGUCGUAGUCCGGAUUGGAGUCUGCAACUCGACUCCAUGAAGUCGGAAUCGCUAGUAAUCGUGGAUCAGAAUGCCACGGUGAAUACGUUCCCGGGCCUUGUACACACCGCCCGUCACACCAUGGGAGUGGGUUGCAAAAGAAGUAGGUAGCUUAACCUUCGGGAGGGCGCUUACCACUUUGUGAUUCAUGACUGGGGUGAAGUCGUAACAAGGUAACCGUAGGGGAACCUGCGGUUGGAUCAC